UACGUAGGGGGCGAGCGUUGUCCGGAAUCAUUGGGCGUAAAGCGCGUGUAGGCGGCCCGGUAAGUCCGCUGUGAAAGUCCAGGGCUCAACCCUGGGAUGCCGGUGGAUACUGUCGGGCUCGAGUCCGGAAGAGGCGAGUGGAAUUCCUGGUGUAGCGGUGAAAUGCGCAGAUAUCGGGAGGAACACCAGUGGCGAAGGCGGCUCUCUGGGCCCUACCUGACGCUGAGACGCGAAAGCGUGGGGAGCAAACGGG
rnacentral:rRNA from 1 species